AGCGAACGCUGGCGGCAGGCUUAACACAUGCAAGUCGAGCGGGCACUUCGGUGUCAGCGGCAGACGGGUGAGUAACACGUGGGAACGUACCCUUUGGUUCGGAAUAACGCUGGGAAACUAGCGCUAAUACCGGAUACGCCCUUUUGGGGAAAGGCUUGCUGCCGAAGGAUCGGCCCGCGUCUGAUUAGCUAGUUGGUGGGGUAAUGGCCUACCAAGGCGACGAUCAGUAGCUGGUCUGAGAGGAUGAUCAGCCACACUGGGACUGAGACACGGCCCAGACUCCUACGGGAGGCAGCAGUGGGGAAUAUUGGACAAUGGGCGCAAGCCUGAUCCAGCCAUGCUGCGUGAGUGAUGAAGGCCUUAGGGUUGUAAAGCUCUUUUGUCCGGGACGAUAAUGACGGUACCGGAAGAAUAAGCCCCGGCUAACUUCGUG
rnacentral:rRNA from 1 species